UGGGGAAUUUUGGACAAUGGGCGAAAGCCUGAUCCAGCAAUGCCGCGUGUGUGAAGAAGGCCUUCGGGUUGUAAAGCACUUUUGUCCGGAAAGAAAUCCUCUGGGUUAAUACCUCGGGGGGAUGACGGUACCGGAAGAAUAAGCACCGGCUAACUACGUGCCAGCAGCCGCGGUAAUACGUAGGGUGCAAGCGUUAAUCGGAAUUACUGGGCGUAAAGCGUGCGCAGGCGGUUUUGUAAGACGGAUGUGAAAUCCCCGGGCUUAACCUGGGAACUGCAUUCGUGACUGCAAGGCUAGAGUAUGGCAGAGGGGGGUAGAAUUCCACGUGUAGCAGUGAAAUGCGUAGAGAUGUGGAGGAAUACCGAUGGCGAAGGCAGCCCCCUGGGCCAAUACUGACGCUCAUGCACGAAAGCGUGGGGAGCAAACAGGAUUAGAUACCCUGGUAGUCCACGCCCUAAACGAUGUCAACUAGUUGUUGGGGAUUCAUUCCUUAGUAACGUAGCUAACGCGUGAAGUUGACCGCCUGGGGAGUACGGUCGCAAGAUU
rnacentral:rRNA from 1 species